rnacentral:misc_RNA from 1 species
GCUUUAUAUACCACACAAUGAAGGACCAUAAAAUAAAAUUUAAAGAAAGAAAUCAAUAAUGGAGGACAUAGACAUUAUACUCCUCAACACCAUUCUUAGUUUUGAGAUCAAUUGUGUGUGUUUUUGCCAGAGCAUAACCACGAGCGAAUCUGAAAAUCUUGCUUCCACCAACGAUAGGCAUCUCCCUGACGCCUGAAAAUAUAGCAUUAUGGCCUAAAAGACUGAGAGUGCUUCCAUUAUACUUGCCUUCCGAGAACACCAAGUUGAAAACCAUUAGUAACCCAAACUCAGUUUGGGAGGCAAAAGCAUACAUCCCUUGGGCUCUUCCUACAAGCUUUGAGUUGAUGUCAGGCUCUACAGUCAAGGGAUCAUCAGCCAUGAACACCUCUCCAAAAUUUGUUGAUGAGUUUGUAAUUCCUGGCUUCGUGAUGGGGAUUGCAGUAGGGUUUUUGCUUGUGACUAUGUCGUGCAAGUAGAAGUGGAGGUGGGUUAGUUUCUCCUUUUUGAGGCCUUGUGCAUCUGGAGAUAACUUUCUUGAGAAACUUUCAGAUUUUGCUGUGGAAAGAAUUAAGAGAAUCAGCAUUGCAGAAGUGAGAAAAUGGAGGUUUUUGGCCAUUGUGAGGGAUUUCAGAAACUCAAGGGUGUAAACUAAUGGCCUUCUUACAACUAUUUAUAGCUGUAUUUGUUGUACUUGGAGAAUUCUUAAAAGAAAUAGAGAAUUUCUACUUUUACUUAAUAUAAGAGAGAUAACUAUUAAAGGCCAACACCUACCUAAAUAGGUUGAUAAAAAAACAUAGUCAAUAAGUCAAAUGUUUUAAUUAAUUGAAUAAAAAAAAUUGAAUGUUUGAGAUUAGGUGGGAUUAUAACUAAG